rnacentral:rRNA from 1 species
CAGUCGCCGCGGGAAUACAGAGGGUGCGAGCGUUAAUCGGAUUUACUGGGCGUAAAGCGUGCGUAGGCGGCUUUUUAAGUCGGAUGUGAAAUCCCUGAGCUUAACUUAGGAAUUGCAUUCGAUACUGGGAAGCUAGAGUAUGGGAGAGGAUGGUAGAAUUCCAGGUGUAGCGGUGAAAUGCGUAGAGAUCUGGAGGAAUACCGAUGGCGAAGGCAGCCAUCUGGCCUAAUACUGACGCUGAGGUACGAAAGCAUGGGGAGCAAACAGGAUUAGAUACCCCAGUAGUCCCUGUCUAUUAUAC